rnacentral:rRNA from 1 species
GACGAACGCUGGCGGCGCGCCUAACACAUGCAAGUCGAGCGAGAACCAGGGCUUCGGCCCUGGGGACAGCGGCGAACGGGUGAGUAACACGUGGGUAAUCUGCCCUCGGCACCGGAAUAGCCCGGGGAAACCCGGAUUAAUGCCGGAUGGCCCCUCUGCUCUGCGGGGUGAAGGGAAAAGGUAGCUUUGGCCUCCGGCCGAGGAUGAGCCCGCGGUGGAUUAGCUUGUUGGCGGGGUAACGGCCCACCAAGGCGACGAUCCAUAGCUGGUCUGAGAGGACGAUCAGCCACACUGGGACUGAGACACGGCCCAGACUCCUACGGGAGGCAGCAGUGGGGAAUCUUGCGCAAUGGGCGAAAGCCUGACGCAGCAACGCCGCGUGGGGAAGAAGGCCU